rnacentral:rRNA from 1 species
GAUGAGGUGUGGAUAGGAGUGAAAGGCUAAUCAAGUCCGGAGAUAGCUGGUUCUCCUCGAAAGCUAUUUAGGUAGCGCCUCGUGUAUCACUCUUGGGGGUAGAGCACUGUUAUGGCUAGGGGGUCCCCAGGGACUUACCAAACCAUUGCAAACUCCGAAUACCAAGAAGUGCAAUCACGGGAGACACACGGCGGGUGAUAAGGUUCGUCGUGGAAAGGGAAACAGCCCAGACCGCCAGCUAAGGUCCCAAAAUCACAGCUCAGUGGUGAACGAUGUGGGAAGGCUAAGACAGCCAGGAGGUUGGGCUUAGAAGCAGCCAUCCUUUAAAGAAAGCGUAAUAGCUCACUGGUCGAGUCGGCCUGCGCGGAAGAUGUAACGGGGCUAAGCUGUGUACCGAAGCUGCGGAUGCAGAGCAAUCUGCGUGGUAGAGGAGCGUUCUGUAAGCCUGCGAAGGUGAGUUGUAAAGCUUGCUGGAGGUAUCAGAAGUGCGAAUGCUGACAUGAGUAG